GAUGAACGCUGGCGGCGUGCCUAAUACAUGCAAGUCGAGCGGACAGACGAGGAGCUUGCUGCUCUGACGUUAGGGGCGGACGGGUGAGUAACACGUGGAUAACCUACCUAUAAGACUGGGAUAACUUCGGGAAAGCGGAGAUAAUACGGGAUAAUAUAUUGAAGCGCAGGGUGCAAUGGUGAAAGACGGUUUUGGUGGAAGUUAUAGAGGGAUCCGAGCCGGAUUAGCUGGUUGGGAAGGUAACGGGUUAUCAAGGGAACGAUGCGUAGGCGACGGGAUGGGGUGAUCGGCCACACUGGAACUGGGCCGCGCUCCAUACUCCUACGGUAGGCACCAGUAGGGUACCUUCCGCAAUGGGCGAAAGCCUGACGGAGCAACGCCGCGUGAGUGAUGAAGGUCUUCGGAUCGUAAUACUCUGUUACUAGGGAAGAACAAAUGUGUAAGUAACUAUGCACUUCUUGACGGUACCUAAUCAGAAAGCCACGGCUAACUACGUG
rnacentral:rRNA from 1 species